UCUGCUGACAAUAGAAUGGUCUGUUCAGUCGCAUACAGUGUGAUACCACAUUAACUCACUGUGAUGCAGAGCAGAUUCAAAACGUAGCACCAUGUUUAAAGGAGAAGGAAAUACAAUGUUAACUUUGAGGUUUAUAUAUAUAGAAUCAAUUCAUUUAAUAUGUUUCCUACAUCAGAGGCAUCCAUAAGCAGUUUAGGUAGAAAAGCCUUCUCACCAGACUUGAAAGCAGUCUCAAAUGUAAAUGAACUUGUCCCUUUGGCCUCUGUCUUAACAUACCUGGGUAAAUCUAACAAAAUUCUAAAAGAGAAAAACCACAACAAGAUAUCUGCACAAGUUCAUUUCUAGUGGUACCUCUCACUCCUUUUCCUGGCUGAAACUUUGAAACGGUCUGCCUUAUGACAUUCUUUAAAUAGCUUUAUAUAAAUUUUGUAUACUAGAAUACAGACUAUUUUGCUGGACAGUCUAAGGGUAUGGGAUCAUCCACCAUGUUCUCUUUGAAGUGAUGUUUUAAACACACGAUUGUUGGAAAGGUUUUUCUUUAGCCAUAGUAUUAUGCUUAAGGGAUAUUUGCAUUUCAAAGUAAGAGAGAGAGACUGACAAAAGGAGCCCACAUAUUCAUUUGUUCUUACGUUGAAAGAAAAGUGUACUGUCUAGCAGUUGGUAAUAAAAAUGUAUUUUAAAAGUACAGAACACUUUGCUCCUGAAAUGUGAUCACGUUAAGAUGCACGUGAUCAGCUUGUAGGACUGAAGGCAGUGAUAAGAAAGAUAGGUGGGUACGUUUUUAUCCCAGUAAUAGGCAUUAAGUUAGGAAGACAGAACCAACUACUGCUGGCACUCAGUCAAGCAUUUCAGCAUGUAGAACAAGGACAGCUUUAAAUAGCAGUAGAGAGAACAAAGCCUCGUGUGAUCAGCAUGUGCUCUUGAAUCAGAUACUCCUGAAUCAGAUACUCCACAGCACUUUGCUACGAACAGGAUUAUUAGCCCAGCACAAUUCUUCAUUUCUUCACAAUGAAAAUACUGAUGACAUGUACUCAGGAGAUCACAAAUGAUUUCUACUAAGAACAUUUGAAAAUAACUGAAUGGUCUGAGUAUUCAUGCUUGAUGGAACUACAGCUUGCUUCAUCUUCCACUUGCCUGUUACGGAAAGUUAAUGCCUGCUCCCAUCGACGCAGUGCUUCUUCAAAGAGCUCCAUACCUAUAGGAACAUCAGGAAUGCCUCCAUUCCAUCAGGCACACAGCUCUGAGCUCAGAGAAAGAGUCAAGUUUUGUCGGCUACUGGAACAACUUGAACCUGUUAGAUACAACAUUUUCAGUUUGAAGAAGGUUUAAAACUAGCAGAUCUUAUGUUAGCAAGAACUAGCAAGAACUGUUUCCAGUAAUUUCAAUAAAAUCCAGUUCAGAAGCAAA